GCUGACUUGUGUGAAAUUUAUACAGAAAUAAAAUUUGUGAAGUAACGAUUGCAAUCUUCAACACUCCUCCUAUAGCCAAACCUACAUUGAGAAACAAGAGUGAUGAUGAUGAUGAUGAAACCAUUUGGGAUUGAUUCCUGAGAAGUAUGAUUUAAACACAAAAAUCUAUGGAUAAACGGAUCUGUUCACAGGAGUUUGACCACCAGCAAAAUCACCUGUGACAGAUAAAUUGACACUGUAUGUAUGUAUGUAUGUAUGUAUGUAUGUAUGUAUGCAUGCAGUGUAUGUAUGUAUGUAUGUGAUGUACUUACAAAGGAUUGUUCAAAUUAAAAUCAUCAAACCUCAAGGCUUAGCUUCAAAGGGAGAAAAGGAUAAACCCUAAAUCAUAAAUAUUUUAUUUACCUCGAAGAAUGAGUCAAGAAGCUUCGCUCCAAAACGAAAACGAAGAAAAAUAA